rnacentral:rRNA from 1 species
AGUGACGUCAAGUCCUCAUGGCCUUUACUGCCCAGGGGCUACACACGUGCUACAAUGGGCGGUACAAAGAGAAGCAACCUCGCGAGGGUGAGCAAAUCUCAAAAAGCCGUUCUCAGUUCGGAUUGAAGUCUGCAACUCGACUUCAUGAAGUCGGAAUCGCUAGUAAUCGCGGAUCAGCAUGCCGCGGUGAAUACGUUCCCGGGCCCGUU